UUUUUUUUUUUUUUUUUUAAGAUUUUUAUUUAUUUAUUCAUGAGAGACACACAGAGAGAGAGAGGCAGAGGCACAGGCAGAGGGAGAAGCAGGCUCUCUGCAGGGAGCCCCAUGUGGGACUCUAUCUCAGGAUCCCGGGAUCAUGCCCAGAGCUAAAGGACACCCAGGUGUUCCAGGCCUGGUCUGUUCUUGAGUGUUCCCAAGGGUGCGUUUAUUUUCUCACCUUCCCUGGGAGCAUUGGUGCUUACCCAGUUGGCUCCUAGUUGCUGGGGACCAUCUAUCUCCUUCUGUUCCUCUUCUCCAAUAUGGGUCCCAUCUCAGGGGGCUUCCUCGAUGCUUCUUGGAUGAAGCAGACAGGUCCAGGGAACAGGUAUGGAGAAUGAAUGUGGAAAAAGAAGAUGAUAUUAGGGCCACACUGGACAAUUCUGGUGUGAGUAGAAACCCACUAGAUGGUUAGUUUGGGACAAGUGAAUGUGUGACAAUAAUUCUGAGCACAAAGUGAGCAUGAGAGCCUUACUAUACCAUUGGGGGUGGCUCCAGGAGAAAGGGUGCCUAGUUAAAACACUACCUCAGACAGUUUUGAUCUCUUUAUUUCUCAGGUCUUGUUGGUUGCACCUGAUUUCCUCCAUGACAUUAAACAACUGUUGUAUGAUUUCUCUGUUGGUAGCACACAGUUUUUCCAAAUUAAGGAAAAAAAAGACAGGAACAAAAAGGUUAUGCUUUUCAUCUAUGUCUGUGUAAACAAACCCAGUAAUUACCAUAACUCAAAUUGCUGCUGAAAUUCUCCAUAUUUUAAUGUGCACACUGUCGCUCUUGCUACUAAAUCUCUGCAUAUAUCCUGGGAAGUUAAUCCUGAAUUAGGAAACAGAAAAACUGAUUAAAUAAAAUUGGGCCAAGUCCAUGAUUUUUAUAUUCAUAAGAUUCAGAAUAUCUGUGAGGAAAUGUGAAAUGCAAAUUGAAUUAUCUUCCAGAGUAAUAACAAAAAAAAAGAGAGAGAGAGAGAGAGAGAGAGAGACAGAGAGAGAAACAAUGCUAAAAUAUGGGUAUCCAUGCAGAGAUGUAUGAAUUAGGCUUGCUAAGGUUUCAGUUGAUUGUGAUUCAAUAUUCUGCUCCUCUGAAACAACCAUUACUUUCUAGGCUGCACAAACUCAAUUCUCUUAGACUAUAGUGGAUAUUAUCCAGGUUUCAUGUAGCAACAUUUUGUCAAAUUUUAUACUCUUAUCAAAAGAGAUUUUUUGCUGAACUUUGAAGAUAGCAUUAUUAGUCCUUAUAAUUGUUUCAAUCACUGUCUUUCUUGAUUGGCUUUAGCACAAAAGGGCAGUUGUAAACAUUCAAAGAAAAGUCAGGAUGGCAAAAGAGCAUUGUUUUUGUGCCCAUAGGCAUGGGGUAGGUGAAAUUGAGUAUUAAGGAAAUAAUGUAGAAAAUUCAAGACUCACCAUUUGUCUCUAAAAAAAGAAAAGAAGAAAAAAAAUUCAGGACGCCACAUUGUCUUUUUUUUUCUUUUUAAAGAUUUUAUUUAUUUAUUCAUGAGAGACACAGAGAGAGAGAGAGAGGCAGAGACACAGGCAGAGGGAGAAGCAGGCUCCACACAGGGAGCCCGACAUGGGACUCGAUCCCCUGUCUCCAGGAUCACAUCCCGGGUCCAAGGCAGUGUUAAACCACUAAACCACCAGGGCUGCCCUCCACAUUGUCUGUUAAUAAAUUGGACUAAUCGGAAUGUUUUUACUGUAUCUCUUUCUUUUUCCCCUCAGAGCCCCUCUCUGUCCCUCUGUGCUCUCUGCCUUGGGAGGCUGAGCUCUUUGGACCUGACCAGGGAGCUCUCUUGUCAUCUGGCUUGCCUUGGGGUCUAACAACAGAGAGCCCCAGCAGGAAGUCAGAGGGAGAGGGGAGGGUAAGUUCUGGGUCCCCUCUAGAUGGCUGUGUCCCUCCACUGAAGACCACUGCUUUUGCCAAGCUUGCCCUUUCUUCUAAGCUCUGGAAACUACUUUUUUCCCCUUUCCCUUCAGGCCUGGCACUGUUAUAAACUUCAGGGUACUACACUCUCCUUGGUAGUUUUGAUUUCCCACAUCCUAGCCCACAACUUUUAAUACCCUUUUAGUCAGGAGUCCCACACUGGCCCAGAAGCACAGGGGCUAGGCUCUAGCAUCCCUGAUGUGAGCACUUCAGGACUACCUUUCAUGUGGAACGGAAUAUGUCUACUGUCACAGGUUGGCUGACCUGUGUGUACGCAGCCAUUAGGAUCUGUCCCACCACCUUCCAACCACUACAGGGAAGUCCUGGCUUCCCCCUCGCCUCAAGGGUAUCCAUCCUUUCUCUGUGUCACAUGCCUCCCCAUGCCCUAAUUAAAAAAAAAAAAAAAAAAAAA
rnacentral:lncRNA from 1 species